rnacentral:rRNA from 1 species
GACGAACGCUGGCGGCGUGCUUAACACAUGCAAGUCGAACGGUGAACUCCGCUUGCGGGGGGAUCAGUGGCGAACGGGUGAGUAACACGUGAGCAACCUGCCCUCAGCUCUGGGAUAACUCCAAGAAAUUGGGGCUAAUACCGGAUAUGACCGCUGACCGCAUGGUCUGGUGGUGGAAAGAUUUAUCGGCUGGGGAUGGGCCCGCGGCCUAUCAGCUUGUUGGUGGGGUAGUGGCCUACCAAGGCGACGACGGGUAGCCGGCCUGAGAGGGUGACCGGCCACACUGGGACUGAGACACGGCCCAGACUCCUACGGGAGGCAGCAGUGGGGAAUAUUGCGCAAUGGGCGAAAGCCUGACGCAGCGACGCCGCGUGGGGGAUGACGGCCUUCGGGUUGUAAACCUCUUUCAGCAGGGACGAAGCGAAAGUGACGGUACCUGCAGAAGAAGCACCGGCCAACUACGUG